rnacentral:rRNA from 1 species
GCCUAAAGCGUCCGUAGCCGGCUCUGUAAGUGUUCGGUUAAAUCCAUAUGCUCAACAUAUGGGCCGCCGGGAAUACUGCAUAGCUAGGGAGUGGGAGAGGUAGACGGUACUCCGUAGGAAGGGGUAAAAUCCUUUGAUCUAUGGAUGACCACCUGUGGCGAAGGCGGUCUACCAGAACACGUUCGACGGUGAGGGAUGAAAGCUGGGGGAGCAAACCGGAUUAGAUACCCGGGUAGUCCCAGCUGUAAACUAUGCAAACUCAGUGAUGCAUUGGCUUGUGGCCAGUGCAGUGCCGCAGAGAAGUCGUUAAGUUUGCCGCCUGGGAAGUACGUACGCAAGUAUGAAACUUAAAGGAAUUGGCGGGGGAGCACCACAAGGGGUGAAGCCUGCGGUUCAAUUGGAGUCAACGCCAGAAAUCUUACCCGGAGAGACAGCAGGAUGAAGGUCAAGCUGAAGACUUUACCAGACAAGCUGAGAAGUGGUGCAUGGCCGUCGCCAGCUCGUGCCGUGAGGUGUCCUGUUAAGUCAGGUAACGAGCGAGAUCCUUACUUCUAGUUGCCACCAUUACUCUCAGGAGUAGUGGGGCGAAUUAGCGGGACUGCCGCAGUUAAUGCGGAGGAAGGAGAGGGCCACGGCAGGUCAGUAUGCCCCGAA